AGGAAGUUAGUCCAGCUAAGACAGUUGAUUUCGGCUCAACAGACCAUAGUAACAACCCUAUGACUUCCUC
rnacentral:tRNA from 1 species